rnacentral:lncRNA from 1 species
UUUUUUUUUUUCUUCGUUUUUUUUUUCCUUCUACUUUUCCUUUUUAUUUUCCUUCAAAUUUUCUGGAACCAAACAUAGCCUUAAAAAAUAAAAUCUAAAAUCCAUCUCAUUACUCCCAUGCUAUGAUAGUAGAGAGAGAACUAUAAUUUAGCAGACGAAAUUCAGGUGAAAUCUUCCAAAAAAAAAAACAAAAUAAUUUGUGGAUUUUCUGUGUGCCAAUCAAAAUCCGAGAUUGUUGGGGAAGAUGCUGCUGUGGCUGGUUAGGAGCAAAGAAUGGAAAUCCGUAAAAUGUUGGUUAAAUUAACUGACGGGGGAAAAGAGAGGCAUGCAUAUUAUAGAAAAGAAAAAUCUUUGAUUGUGAAAGAAUAUGAUAUAAAUAGGUAGCUGAUUGGCUAUAUUUAUAAGCUUUUCUUUGUGCCUUUCACUCUCCAUUUUCCCUUUCUUCCAUCAUACUGUCUUUCUUCUUUAAUGGCUUGCAACCAGCAUAAGGUAUGGAGGAGGGUGGCGUUUCUUCUCUCGCUGCUCUCCAUUUUACAAAUUUGUGCUCGUGGGGACCCUCAAGUGCCUUGCUACUUCAUUUUAGGGGACUCACUGUCUGACAACGGGAAUAAUAAUGGCCUUUCGACGAAGGCCAAAGCCAAUUUCAAGCCAUACGGAAUCGACUUUCCGGUGGGCCCUACCGGAAGGUUUAGCAACGGACGGACCAUUGUCGAUGUUACUGGUUAAUCUUCUCAACUAAAUGAAUGUUCAUAUAUAUAGUCUCUCUCCCUCAAACUCUCCACAUUUUUUCCCUGACUUUUUUAAUGGAAAGAAUGAAAGAUCAUGCUAAUUGAAGACUUCCUCAUUGCAGCUGAACUUCUGGGUUUUGGCGAGUACAUCCCGCCCUUUACAUCAGCAAAAGGUCGGGACGUACUCAAAGGCGUGAAUUAUGCUUCGGCGUCGGCAGGAAUCCUUGACGAAAGUGGAAAGCAACUGGUACAUUCGAAGAUGCAUUGCAAGCUUUUAGCUAGCAAUAUAUAAAACUGCAAUUUAGAUGACAAUAUACUUCUCUUGUAUUGGCAGGGUCAAGCAAUUCCAUUGGGUGGACAGUUGAAAAAUUACCUUAAAACAUUCUCUCAAAUCUCCAAAAUACUAGGAGGUGGCACAGCUGCUCACAAGUACCUAAAUAAGUGCAUGUUUACAGUUGGAAUUGGUAGUAAUGAUUUCAUUAACAACUACUUCAUGCCAGACGUGUUCCGAACGAGUGAAUUAUAUUCCCUAGAUCGAUUUGUGGCAACACUUAUUGAUCAAUAUUCUCAGUAUUUGCAGGUUAGUGAUAUAUAUAUAUAUUCCUUUUCCUCGAUUAACAGUAGCAUUAAUUUAUUGGUUUCUUGUUAAUGCAUGCACAGACCCUGUACAAGUGUGGAGCAAGGAAGGUAGCCCUUUUUGGAUUGGGACCAAUAGGUUGCGCUCCUGCUGAAUUGGCUCGGUAUGGGGCAACACCCGGAUCAAUCUGCGUGGACAAAAUCAAUGAUGCAGUUGUACGUUUUAACAAAAGGCUUAUAUCACUCGUUGAUGAUCUCAAUGACAAUUACAAAGAUGCAAAGUUUACCUACAUUAACAUACUCGAAAUUGGAACUGGGGAUGCCACAGCCGCAGGUAAUGAACUCUUAGCUUGUUGACGAUUUCAUCAUAUUCUACUUCAUGGAGAAGGGGUCUUCGUAGUAUGAAUACUAUAUAUAGAAGACUAAGCCAGUGGCCUCUUACAGGUUUCAAGGUUACAAACAGUGGGUGCUGUGGUGGACAGAAGGGUUGUCUUCCUCUUGCAACUCCAUGCAAGAAUAGGGAUGAGUACACCUUCUGGGAUGAAUUCCACCCCACCGAUGCUAUGAACGUCAUUUUUGCUAACAGGGCAUACAAAGCAUUGACUCCCACAGAUGCCCACCCAAUUGAUAUCAGCACCCUUGCCUGUCUCUAAUGGAGACACCGCCUAGCCCGGCACUUGGCACAAUGGAAGUGGAGUGUCCAAUAACUUUUGUUGUCAAUAUUGUUGGUAGUCAGCAAACUUGAUGUACGUUGGUAGCUCAUUUUCCCCGAAGUUGAAGCCUUUGGGGCAGAGGGUAUAGUUCAUCGAUCAUAGCUUCAUUUCCCAGAGACCUAGCAUUCGGAUCUCUUGGUUUGUUUAUUAAUUCUUCCUUUUGUUACACCCCAUGCCUGACGAGGAAGCAUGUGAGGUGAAGUAAAUGUAAGUUUAAUUUAUUUCUCAUUAGCUUAUGCUUUUGAAGCAACCUGUAUCGUAAAUAAACUUCCUAAUUUCUGUGAACAUCUACUUCAUGAGUAUGCAUUUCUCUAAGUUCCUGUUAUGUUUGGCACUAGAAAAUUUGCCAGGAAAAGUAGAAGAAAGAAAGAGUAAAAAUUUAAAAUUAAUAAAAAAAAUUUAUAUGUUAUUUCAAAUUUAUGUAAAAAAUUAAUUUUAAUAAAAAAAACCAAAAUACACCCUUUUUAGAAUUUUUAUUUUACUUCUAUUUCUAUUAUUUCAUUUUAUCAAAGGGCAGACGCUCUAAAUGAUUAUCUAAAGGACUAAAGCACUCUUUAGUUGAGUAUGGACUCCUUAAAUCUUAGGCUGGGUGUGGGGUCAGAGUAUGGGCUUCGGAAUUUUCUACCCCUUGAGCCAUCUUUAUGCAAUUGAAAGUAGGAUCAGAAUGAUCAUGGGCUCCUCCAUUCACAUUCAACUCAAAAGCCCCAUCAGAAUCAGGUACAACAAAUCAAAUUCAAGUACAAAGCAGUAAUUCUAUUAUAUAGUAUAAUUAAAAAUUCAUUUUCUACUACUUCCAUGAAUGAAAUCUAACUAUUCCUAUGUUUUUUUUCCUAAAAAUUAACUAAUUUUUGACAUAAAUGUCCUUUACUAUUUCAAAUAUUUACAUGUAGGUUUUAAAAGAGAUGACUAUUUUCACAAGAAAAUAAUGACAACAUUUUUGUCCAAAUGAGAUCAAAAAAUGGUGGAAGGUUAAAUUUCAAAAACCCUUUUAAUUAAAUAACCCAAAAGUAUAGGAUAUAAUGAUGAUGUUGAAUUAUGAUUACAAUCUUCAAAAUUUAAACUCCUAACUUAAUAUUAGGUUGAUGAUUAUAAAACUAUGGGCUAAGUAUUUCAUGAAAAUAAAAGAUUGUUUGGUGGUGAUUUAUGAUGGUUUGAAAUAUUUAGUGAUUUAAACUCCUAAAUCAAAGUUCUCAUUUUUUUUACAAGGGUUCAAAUUUCAUUCUAUGCAUAAUAUUUGGGAAUUUUUCCAAUCUUAUGUACAAUUUAUGGGUUUUAAUGCUUAUUUAGGGUUCACCCUAAUCAAGGGAUUGGGUUGGACCGAGUCUUAGCCCAAAAUUUUUUAGCGGGUUGUUAAAUUUUUCUUAAACUUAAUAUAGCGUUUGAAUUUUUUAGAUUGUAUUUGGUUUGGAAAACGUUUUACAAUAUUCAUUUUUGAUUUUUAUUUUUUGAAAAUAAUUUUCAUUUUCUAUUUCUUAUCUUCUUAAAAAUGUGUUUGAUAAAGAAAAGUGGAAAUUAUGUUUUAAAAAUGAAAUUUAUAAAUUUUAAGUAUUUAUUAAAAAUGUGGAAUAAAUAUAAUUAAAUUUGUAUAUGAUUAAAUAUAAAUAGAAAAACAAAAGGAAAAAAAAAAAAAAAAAAAAAAGAGGAAAACUUUUUAUGCUUUGUCCUUCAUUCCAAGACAUGUGUCAUUCUUUCAUUUAGAGUUGUCCAUAGGCUCACCGGGAGGCAAGUCCCCUAAGCUGGGAGCAAGGCUACGGGAGACAUCACUAGACUUAAGAAUGUCUCCUUCCAUACAUACAAUAGCUCUUUAUGAGCUCUACAUGUGGUUCUCUCUCAAUUACAUGUGAAGGUCAGCUAUAUAAAUUAUGCUUAGUAACUUGGUUUUUCUCUCUAGUAUAAGUUGGGUUUUUCUCUCUAGUAAGUUGUGUAUGGGAACUUACAUUGUUUACUUAUUACAUAGUGGUGUAAUUGGAGAAAGAAACGUGAGUAAUGUUAGAUAUUGGCUUUAGCUUAUUACAGUCUAGUAAGUUGGGGUCUUUUUAACUUUGAAUAAUUUUAUGAAUAUGCAUGAUUAUGAUGGUAGUAUAGGCUUUAGCUUCUCUUUAAUUUGUUUAGGUGAUCUCUUGUUCAAUUUUCUUUUACUUCUCGCAUCAUUUGGUAUCAAAGCAUAUUGUACGCUCUUGGCUUUGCUUCUUUUAUGGCAACAGGAUGAGGUAGGGAAGACAUGGUAACCAUAUGAUGGAUGAUUGGAGGGAUGAAAGAGUUGAUGAACUUCAGGCACUUCAAAGACAAAUUGAACAACAUACUAUGCAUCUUGAAUGAUAAGAAGCUCGCAAUAAGCAUGGAGGGUAUAGCUGUGAGUAUUCUGGUCACGAAACCGACCAGAAUCCCUUCGACCAUCAUGAAAAGGUUAGGUUUGGAAGCUACUAUUGAGAUCCCGACGCCAUCAACAUUGUUUUACGUACCUGAGUUCCAUGGUCAUCUUCACCUCUAAAAGAGUUCCUUGAUUAGCUAGAACCGUUGAAAUAUUAUUUAACAACAAGGAUAUCCCUAAGUAUCAAAGAGUGAAGCUACUAGCAACAAGGCUUCAAGAGUAUGCGUUGGCAGAGUAGGAUAAGGUUCAAGAGAUGAGGCUUCAUAAGGGAAAGCCUAAGAUUUCUUCUUGGGAGAAAAUGAAGUCUAGGAUUAGGGAUAAACUUCUUCCAUUAGAUUUUGCUCAAAGUAUUGUUAUCUCAAUUUAAGAACCCUUUUCCAAGAAUCCAAGAGUAUAUUAGAUUAGAUUGAAAAUUUUACGAGCUCAUUACUCGUAAUGACAUUCAAGAAACCGAGGAAAAAGUCAUUGUAAGAUAUGUUGAUGGGCUAAAAAUAUGGAUUCAUGAUAAAAUGGAAGCUUAUCAACCAACCUUGAAAGUGGAGGCUAAACUUUACUUUGAUAGUGAAACAAAGUUUAUGAAUGUUCAUAGUUUCUAUCCUUCUUCCAAAGGAAAGUCUUCAUAAGGUAGCAGCACUAAUAGGUUUCGAAAUAUGAAAAAAAAAAAAAACCCGUGAAGUUAGUCCUUAUAAAUCAUGUAGGAAAUCAACCUAGUCACGCCAACAAUCCAAUUACUUCAAGUGUGGACAAGUGGGGCUUGUUACAAUGAAUGUCCCAAUAGACAAGUGGAUACACAGGUAGCUUUUGUGAUGAGGAUGGUGGUGAAAAGUUUAUUAGUGAUCUAAAUGAGCCAUCUAUGAUAAGGAAGGUGAUGUGGAAUGAGAAGAAAUUGAGCCCAGAGAAGCUAAGAACCUGAUGAUCCAUAGAGCACUUACCACUCAAAAAGUUGAUUUCCAUAAAGAUUGAAUUUGCUCCAAUAUCUUCAAAACUCACUGCAAAUCUGAUGGAAAAGUGUGUACCAUAGUUAUUGAUGGUGGAAGUUACAAAAACAUCAAUAUUUCUAAAUGGUAAAGAAGCUCAGCUGUAGAUUGGAUCUGAUCCAAAGCCUUAUUGAAUUGCAUGGUUUAAGAAAGGAAAUGAUAUAAAAGUUUCCAAAAGGUGUCUUGUUUCAUUUGCUAUGGAUAAAAAUUAUGAAGACCGAGUUUGUGUGAUGUAGUUCCUAUGGAUUUUAUAUACAUUCCUAGGAAAUAUUCUGGCAAUAGGAUAGAAAUGAAAUGUGUUCAUGAUGGUCAAAAGAAUACUUAUCCCUUUAUUAUGGGAAAAAUAGAAGCUAUUCUUCCACCAAGUAAAGAGGAAAAAGCACCAAAGUCUCUACAAGAGGAGGGUGACAAUUUUCUCGCUGUCAAAGUUUGUGAAAGUGAAGAAAGUGGUGUUAUGUACAUGUUAAUCACAAAAGUAAACUUGCAGCCAGUGGACUUGCCUAGUGACUUGGAACCAUUCUUGGGUUUCCCUCUCUUAGAGACAUUCAACAUCACUUUGACUUGAUACCUGGUUCUAUGCUUUCUAAUAAAGCUUAAUUUCGUGUACAAGUCUAACAGAACAUUAAGAGAUGAAAGGGCAAUCAUGGAGUGGUUCAAAAGGGGUAUGUUAGAGAAAGCAUGAGCACUUGUGCAGUGUUGGUCUUGUUAACUACUAAGAAAGACGAAACAUGGCCUUAUGUGUGUGAAUAGUCGUCACAUUAAUCAAAUUAAUAUCCAAUACUGGUUUCCUAUUCUAAGAGUUAGGGUGCUUGAUAUGCUUGCAAGUGCUAAAUUUUUUUUCCAAAAAUGAUAGUAGAAAUGGCUACUAUUGUAUUUGAAUCAAACUGGGUGACAAAAUGGGGUAUUUUUUCAGAUUUUUCUAUAUUAAGAAAAUUCAUUAUACCAUGGAAGCGUUAAUGGGGUAUUUUUUGGGUUUUCUACAAUUAAAGAAAAUCCAUUAUAUCUAUGCAAGCAUCAUUGAUGUGUCCUCUUGACAAUUGGGAAUUGCUCGUAAUGCUCUUUUGGGAGGGGGUGGUAGUCUCACUUAGGGUAAGCCAAGGGUGCGGGCUAUGGCAUGGUAUGGAAUACCUAAGGCAUACCAAGACUCUUCAUGGGUGGGUAUAAGGCGCCCUUAGAGCUUGUACACAUCCAAAUGUGCAAUGGCUUAAGCAAGGCAUAGGAGCACGAACAGAGCCAUGCAUGAUCAAAGCAUGACACAUCCGAUGUGGGCUUUGUGGCUGAGGCAAGAUACAACUUGGUGCAUACAUGAGGGCAAUGCUAUAUGCAUGAACCUUGGGCACAACCAAGGUCAUAAGACCUCAUAGCACAUGAUGAAAGGGCCUAAUACCAAACAAGGGUUGGUUUGGCUAGCCACAAAUGGGCACCAGGUGUAGUGGUUAAUCUGUUAAUCAAAUAUCUAGCGUUUCACCUACUCUAGGUUUCAGGGCCACAAUAAGCACCGGGUGUAGUGGUGGGCAAAGUGAUUGUCUUCCUUCUAUAAUUGCAUGCCAGAUUAGGACCAGGUAUGUCUACUGGGACCAGUUCCACCCAACUGAAGCUAUGAAUGUGAUUUAUGCUCGAAGAGCAUACAUCAUACAGACUCCAUCAGAUGUCCACCCAGUUGAUAUCCACGCUCAUCUCUAUUAAUGGAGGCAGUCGCUAUUGAGCGCUCUCUAUUAAUGAAGGCAGCAGCUAUUGAGUGCAAUGUGUAUACAUAUAUACAAUAGUAGUUGCUGAUAGGAUGCUCUACCAUAAUAUAAAGAUCUCGGUUUGCAGAGUGGCUUUGUUUCUAUGAACAUAUAGUUCAUGUCUACGUAUACCUGUAAUUAAGUUCAAUAUGGUCUAUAAUAAAAUAUCAUGUAAAAAUAUUUUUCUUGUAUAUAACCAUGAUGUAACUGGAAGUACUAACUGUUUUUUUAUUCAUGUGCAAAAUUGUUAAUUUUUUCUCUUGUUCACCAAAAUAUUGAACAGACUGUCAAAGUUCGAAGUAUUCACAAAUGCAUCCAUGUGUAGAAAGAAUUAGAGCAUAUAUACAUGCAAUAACAAUAAUCUUCUCUUGAUGGUCUUGUUACAUUGUUGAAUUAUAUGAUAUAUCUAAAAUAAUUUGAUAUGAUUCAGUACUGUUUUUAAAACAAAGGUAAUUUUGUUGAGAGAUCAGCCAUGUUAACAUCAAGAAAAGCCCCCUUCUGACCAUGCAAUUUUUGUAUGUCUGGAUCCUCCAUUCUAAAUUUUUUGCUACUAGUAAGCAUACCGUUCCAUUUGGAUAACAAGGUACAGAAUGAAACUAGUAGGCUUCAAUCCAAUAUGUAAAGAGAUUGUUCCACUCAACCCUAGAAAGCUGUCUGUAUAUAAUUUCAAAGCUAUCCAUAAUGAAUGUGGAUACUGCCUCUGAUCCAUGCAUGCCUUAGGUUGGGCUAUUUAGAAACAAUAGCAGUUGUUAUUUUCAUUUCUAUAAGCGCUAUAUAGAUCUAAUAGAAGGUUUUGAUCAACAUACACACACAUAAAGAAACUAAAAAUGACGAAAAACAGGCAUGCUAGCAAAUAUAACAAGGAGAAAGAAGCACACAAAGGAUCAGUAUAGCUACAUCGAUCAGUAGAAUCUUUCAUGGAGUCAUAGUGUGAAACAUGUAGAGAAGUAGCACUCUAACAACAUACUUGGGUGACCUAUGCCCAUCAACAAAGAUACUAACUUGUCAGAGUAUUAAGUUCCUCCACUUGAGAAAAGUUGAUCCCUGCUUUUUAGUGUUUCUCAAGAUAAUCUGUAGCUUGCAUCCGCUAGGCACUAGAUCAUCCCCACAGAAACUAAAAACAGCAGAAAUUACUGGUCCUUGAAGCAUAUUAACUGCAAAGAAAUUAAUCACAAAGUAUUAAACAAAUGUUGCAUUAAUUUAUCUAGUUUUUAACAGUCAUUUGGAACCACAACUAUGAUGAUCUAUAAUAAUGGUGGUGGUUCAUACUUUUGACUUUAAACUCCGCAAGAAAUGCCAUGGGAUUGAUCAUCUUGUGAUAAAGCCUUAUUCCUUCCUAUAUGGGAAAACAUAAAUUGCCUCCGCUCCACUUGGAUUUUGGAAGGUUUGAGGGAAUUUGCAGGGGAGAAGAAAAUGGGUUGUGUGUGUGGUGC